GAUAACCAUCUAACCGAAUCAUUUCCCAACCACUUAGUCAAUGUUAAGAUGAUACUAUCAUAAAAUUAACAUAAUAAUAAUAAUCCAAGGCUAAUAAUUAUUAAUGCGGAAGUCAAACAGACUACGUACUAAAAUCCCCAAGACCCGAAAGUCAUCGUAUAAGAACUACUAACAAAGAUCAUGUCUAAAGAGAUAUCCAAAAAUAAGGUGAAUAAAGAAUGUUUCAUUGCCCGAAAGAUGGACAAGAACAAAUAAGAUGACCCAUGGCAACCUGGAAACGGAGUGCUCACCCUUGGAUCAAUAUCUUCUAUCAAAAUCUAGAGGUGAGAUCAUGUCUGAGCCUCUAGAAUACUUUCUGCACUCAACAAAAGAAGAGUACAGGGUAGUAUCAGUACAAACUACUAUAUACUGGUAGGUAUCAUAGGCCCACUCAAUUUAAUAGCAUGUACACAACAUAAAUCAAAUAACAAGUAGACAGGCAUCAUCACAUAACAAAUAUUCAAUAAAUCAACAAUACAACAAUAGGUCAAAUAGUGCUCACAAACAAGUCACAUAACCAUCAAGAGUAUCAACCGCACUGUAAACAUCCACAAAAUCAACACAAAUAUGUACACACAUGCUAUGGGACUUAUUUUUGCCCAAAUAGUCAUGACCUGCAGGGAACAAUCUAUGUUCAUGUACUGUAUCGGUGUGGUACCCGAUCUAACAUAAAUAUAAACGGACCGGCGUGGUACCCAAUCCAACAUAAAUAUAAACGUACCGGCGUGGUACCCGAUCCAAUAUAAAUAUAAACGUACUGGUGUGGUACCCGAUCCAACAUAAACAUAAACGUACCGGCAUGGUACCCGAUCCAACAUAAAUAUAAACGUACCAUCGUGGUACCUGAUCCAACAAAAUAUAAAUGUACCGGCGUGGUAUCCGAUCCAAUAUAAAUAUAAAUGUACCGGUGUGGUACUCAAUCCAACAUAAAUAUAAAUAUAACGGUGUGGUACCCGAUCCAACAUAAAUAUAAACGUACCGGCGUGGUACCCGAUCCAACAUAAAUAUAAACAAGUAUUAUCAAUAUCAAUUUACACAACCUCACAGCAUGCAACACAAUGUACCAAGUUUACAAGUACACUUAAAGUCAUAAGACAAUUCCAUCAAGUCAAUUUUCAAUAAAUAUUUAUACACGAAUCAACAAUCCAAACAUCAAUAAUUUCAAGCAUGUCCGAAUAUCAAUCCACAAGUAUCCAAUUUAGGAGCAUACACAUAAUUAAGUCCAGUCUAAACUCCAAUUAAACCGUAAUCUACCUCAACCGAAGAACCCGAAUAUCACUAGUCCACAAAUGUCUUGCCCUUCCUCACUAAUUCAGAACGUUCAAAAUCUGCUCAAAUAUAUAAUCUUCAUAAGAAUAUGAAUCUAAUGACAUCAAUUUAUUCAUUAUAUCUCAAUCACUAACAAAUUAUUACCAUAUCAUUAUCCUAAAUUGACAUGAUAACCCUUCGAGGGACACUAACAAUAACACGUUUUAACACCUACAUAACCUUAGUUAUUCUAUUGAAAUUGUAUCAAUAAUGCUUUUGUCCUUAUUAAGGAUUUACAACUUGUCAGUAUUAAGAAAGUUUUGGUUCAAAAUAAUGUAACCAACUUCUAAUUCCCUAUACAUAUGCUACUGCCCACAAAGUUACCGAUUAUUCCCUUAAUUACAUAAAAUUCCAUAGAAAAUAAUUAAUCUUAGGAAACCAUACAGAAACUUACAGGAAAUUCUUGAAAUUUGACAUGAAAUGAUCACUGCAAACCGACGUGCCUCCCUUUUUCUCAACUUUCCGAC
rnacentral:lncRNA from 1 species